UACGAAGGGGGCUAGCGUUGCUCGGAAUCACUGGGCGUAAAGGGUGGGUAGGCGGGUCUUUAAGUCAGGGGUGAAAUCCUGGAGCUCAACUCCAGAACUGCCUUUGAUACUGAGGAUCUUGAGUACGGGAGAGGUGAGUGGAACUGCGAGUGUAGAGGUGAAAUUCGUAGAUAUUCGCAAGAACACCAGUGGCGAAGGCGGCUCACUGGCCCGUUACUGACGCUGAGGCACGAAAGCGUGGGGAGCAAACAGG
rnacentral:rRNA from 1 species